GUGCCAGCAGCCGCGGUAAUACGUAGGAUGCAAGCGUUGUCCGGAUUUACUGGGCGUAAAGCGCGCGCAGGCGGCAGUACAAGUACCCUCUGAAAUCUCCUUGCUCAACGAGGAGGGUGGAGGGUAGACUGUGCAGCUAGAGGAGGGUAGAGGGGGGUAGAAUUGCUGGUGUAGCGGUGAAAUGCGUAGAGAUCAGCAGGAAUACCCGUGGCGAAGGCGGCCCCCUGGGCCCUAAAGCCUUCUCUUUUUACCACUCUCUCUGCAAAGAGAGAGAAGGGGAAAAGGGAAACCUGACGCUGAGGCGCGAAGGCUAGGGGAGCGAACGGGAUUAGAUACCCGGGUAGUCC
rnacentral:rRNA from 1 species